rnacentral:rRNA from 1 species
UACGGGGGGGGUAAGCGUUGUUCGGAAUUACUGGGCGUAAAGGGCUCGUAGGCGGCCAACUAAGUCAGACGUGAAAUCCCUCAGCUUAACUGGGGAACUGCGUCUGAUACUGGAUGGCUUGGAUUCGGGAGAGGAAUGCGGAAUUCCAGGUGGUAGCGGUGAAAUGCGCAGAUAUCAGGAGGAACACCGGUGGCGAAGGCGGUUCUCUGGGCAUGUCCUGACGGCUGAGGAGCGAAAGUGUGGGGAGCGAACAGG